GGAGAGAUCGCAUAGUGGACUAGUGCGGCGGUCUUGAAAACCGCUAGGGGCGCAAGCCUCUCGUGAGUUCGAAUCUCACUCUCUCCGCCU
rnacentral:tRNA from 4 species